rnacentral:rRNA from 1 species
UACGAAGGGGGCUAGCGUUGCUCGGAAUCACUGGGCGUAAAGCGCACGUAGGCGGAUUUUUAAGUCAGGGGUGAAAUCCUGGAGCUCAACUCCAGAACUGCCUUUGAUACUGGGAAUCUCGAGUCCGGAAGAGGUGAGUGGAACUGCGAGUGUAGAGGUGAAAUUCGUAGAUAUUCGCAAGAACACCGGUGGCGAAGGCGGUUCUCUGGGCAUUACCUGACGCUGAGGAGCGAAAGUGUGGGGAGCGAACAGG